UGGGACGGAGAAGAGUGGGAAUAAAAACAGCUUUAAAUUAAAUGAAAUCUUUUAGGCUGCUGCUUAAAUUAUGAAAUUUUUGAAUAAUAAAACAUUAAAACAAAAGACAAACAAAUUAGACGAUAAGCACAACUGAUGACAAAUAGAAUAAACUGAAAAAGGCUGUAAGAGAGGUAAAUGGAUGUGUUGUAUGCAUUCAGGCAGGAUCCGGUGAAAAAGCAGGUUUUCCCAUUCAUUCAAGUUGAGCUAGUUUGUUUUGGAUGCAGGGGUGUCCACCAAAAAACACAGCAAUCUGCAGCGAAGAAGUUGAGCCAGAUCCAUCUAUUGGAAAAUAGAGCCUGACUUCCUGACAUCACGCUGCAGCCACCAAUCAGAUGAUCAGAUUGGUUAAACCUCCACAAUCAGCAUGAAAUGUCUCUUAAACUGAGGCUAUCCAGCUGGAUUCAUGGACUAAAGUCUGAUACUCCGAUACCUGUUGCGUACUGGCUUUGUUACUUUCAUGUAGUAGCUUCUAAAUCUGUCCAGCUCCAAAUUUAUGCUGCAAAAUAGUUUCCUUUUCUUCAUGUCCGAUGGUUUAAGAGAGAAACCGAGAGGGGGAGAAAGCGAGCAUUGGUCAAGAGACAUAGACAAGAGUGAGGGAGUGCCGACAUUGAUGAAAGCAGUUAAUCAGCUGAAUAAAAAGUUAUUUUCUGAUUGUUUCACAGCGGCUACGUCCAGCACAAAAAGACUGCCAACCCUCUCCCAGACACACCGCCGCAACCCUGCAGUGAUUCGCCAAAGGGCCUGAUCCUGACUAAAUGCAACCUAAGAAAAGAUGUCAGGGAGAGUGUCUAACUCAAUAUCUCAAACUACUUGCACCAAGAUGUGCUCAAAUUAAGGUUUUGUAGGGAGUUCUUGUUUAAUAGUUAACAGAAUUUUUGUCUCAGAGGUUUUCAAACUGGGAGGUGGGAGGCUCAGAGAGAGAAUCCACUUAGAAAAAGAUGUUUCUCAUAAGUCCAAAACCUGCCUGUGUUUAUCUGCUUUAGCACAUCUGAGAGUACAUUGCAAAUAAGAACUGCUAAAAGCUAAACUUUUAAUUAUGUGUAAACAAAUAUAGAAAAAAAA